rnacentral:rRNA from 1 species
CCUACGGGAGGCAGCAGUAAGGAAUAUUGGUCAAUGGACGAAAGUCUGAACCAGCCAUGCCGCGUGAAGAUUAAGGCCCUCUGGGUUGUAAACUUCUUUUAUCUGGGACGAAAAAAGGGUAUUCUUACCCACUUGACGGUACAGAGGAAUAAGCACCGGCUAACUCCGUGCCAGCAGCCGCGGUAAUACGGAGGGUGCAAGCGUUAUCCGGAUCACUGGGUUUAAAGGGUGCGUAGGUGGAUAUUUAAGUCAGUGGUGAAAUCUCCGAGCUUAACUCGGAAACUGCAUUGAUACUAUUUAUCUUGAAUGCCCUGGAGGUAAGCGGAAUAUGUCAUGUAGCGGUGAAAUGCUUAGAUAGACAUAGAACACCAAUUGCGAAGGCAGCUUACUACGGGGUGAUUGACACUGAGGCACGAAAGCGUGGGGAUCAACAGGAUUAGAUACCCUGGUAGUCCACGCCCUAAACGAUGAUUACUCGACAUACGCGAUACACUGUGUGUGCUGAGCGAAAGCAUUAAGUAAUCCACCUGGGAAGUACGACCGCAAGGUUGAAACUCAAAGGAAUUGACGG